CACAGCGAUAAGGGACCUCGAGUGCCAAGUUACAAAUCUGGCUGUCGAGAUGCCUAAAAAGCAUUUCAUAGCAAGGGCCGGGCAAGACCGGUGCCAGCCGCCGCGGUAACACCGGCGGCUCGAGUGGUAACCGUUAUUAUUGGGUCUAAAGGGUCUGUAGCCGGCCGGAUAAGUCUCUUGGGAAAUCUGGCAGCUCAACUGUCAGGCUUUCAGGAGAUACUGUCUGGCUCGAGGCCGGGAGAGGUGAGAGGUACUUCAGGGGUAGGGGUGAAAUCUUGUAAUCCUUGAAGGACCACCAGUGGCGAAGGCGUCUCACCAGAACGGACCUGACGGCAAGGGACGAAAGCUAGGGGCACGAACCGGAUUAGAUACCCGGGUAGUCCUAGCCGUAAACGAUACUCGCUAGGUGUCGGCCACGGUGCGACCGUGGUCGGUGCCGUANGGAAGCCGUGAAGCGAGCCACCUGGG
rnacentral:rRNA from 1 species